UUGUAGACAUGUUCUUUGACUUUCUGUAGAUUCUUAGACUUAUAUAUGACGUGAUGAAAUCAGGUGCUUCAUAGUCAUACAAGCCUAAUUUGGAUUUUCCAUUUCACUCAUAGGUAACAUAUCAUACUCAUUAGUUGUUGUGGACCAUUGUGAUACUACUAGGAUUAGUAUUAUCCAUAUCUUCAAUAUGAGUCAAUUAGGAUUGACGACGAGUUUGACAUAAUCAAAGUGUGCCACCUUGGUUGCUACAAUUUGUAGGUUCAACAAAAUCAGAGUGCCUUGGUGAUAUGAGACAUAGAUGCAUUGAUGAUACGAGAUAUAGAUACAUAUAUAGAUGCAUUGGUGAUAUAUGUAUAGAGUUUCUUUUUCUUGUCAUUUGUGUACUCUGCAUUUAUCUCUGAUUUUCCUUUUGAAGAGAAGAACCUUACUCUUUCUUUUUGUAUAUGUAUUGUAAUGUUUUUCUUCACUUGUUUACAGGUCAAAAAGUUCUUUGAAAUGGCCUCCAAAUCGCUUUUAGACAUUUGGUCUUGUGUAAAUGUGUUUAUUAAAAGUAUUUGAAAAAGACAUCAUUUAGGCUUCAAUUGAUGCUCAAGUAAGAUUUUAAACUUAGAAAAGCCUACUGUCAAGUUUUCAGUAAUUAAUUGAAGAACAUAGAUUGAUUUUUGUUUGUUGAGCUAAUGUUUCCUCUUGGCUUUAACAUGUCUCUGAGAAAGUGCGCAGUCUGCAAGAAGCUAUUCCUAAUUUGAGUUCAAUACUAAGACUCUUGUUAACUUUUUGCAUUU
rnacentral:lncRNA from 1 species